GAUGAAGAACGUAGUGAAAUGCGAUAAGUAAUGUGAAUUGCAGAAUUCAGUGAAUCAUCGAAUCUUUGAACGCACAUUGCGCCCGCCAGUAUUCUGGCGGGCAUGCCUGUUCGAGCGUCAUUUCAACCCUCAAGCCCCCGGGCUUGGUGUUGGGGAUCGGCGUGCCCUCGCGGCGCGCCGUCCCCUAAAUCUAGUGGCGGUCUCGCUGUAGCUUCCUCUGCGUAGUAGCAACACUCGCACUGGAUCGCAGCGCGGCCACGCCGUUAAACCCCCCACUUCUGAAAGUUUGACCUCGGAUCAGGUAGGAAUACCCGCUGAACUUAAGCAUAUCAAUAAGCGGAGGA
rnacentral:misc_RNA from 1 species